rnacentral:rRNA from 1 species
GUAGGGUGCAAGCGUUAAUCGGAAUUACUGGGCGUAAAGCGUGCGCAGGCGGUUGUGUAAGACAGGGGUGAAAUCCCCGGGCUUAACCUGGGAAUUGCAUUUGUGACUGCACGACUAGAGUGUGUCAGAGGGGGGUGGAAUUCCACGUGUAGCAGUGAAAUGCGUAGAUAUGUGGAGGAACACCAAUGGCGAAGGCAGCCCCCUGGGAUAACACUGACGCUCAUGCACGAAAGCGUGGGGAGCAAA